rnacentral:lncRNA from 1 species
GCCUGUGCUAGGCAGGGAUUUGUCAUGAGGGGCUAUCUUUAAAUUUUUCUGUGCUCUCACUCUGUGGCUAAACUCCUGCCACUUCUUAGAAAUAAAUAAAACAAAGUAAUAAAAAUUAUAAAUAAACAAACACAUAAUUAAAUAAUAAAAAGUAAUAAUAAAAAUUAUAAAUAAGAAAUUCCCUAAAGCUGAUUUUUUUUUUUUUUUUUUUUUCCUGGCUGACUUUUCCCCAAAAAGUUACAGAAGGAGUGGAGCAAGCACGGCUCAGGAAUGCCGGGGAGGGCCAAAAUCGGGAUUUUGGGCCCAUUUUGGGCACUGAGGGUUGGCUGGGCUGGCCCCAAAUUCAAAUUUCAGCCCUGGGAGCGGCCUCAGCGAGGCCCUGCCUGCUCCCUGUGGCCCUGCCUUGAUUUUUGGGGCACUUUUGGUGGCCCUGCCUCACUUUUAGGGUCGCGUUUGGUGUCCCUGCCUCACUUUUAGGGGCACUUUUGGUGGCCCUCCCUCGCUUUUUGUGGCCCUGCUUUGCUUUCAGGGGUCUCCCCCUGUUGCUUUUUGUGUCCCUGCCUCGCUUUUAGGGGCACUUUUGGUCUCUUCCCCUCACUUUUUGUGUCCCUGCCUCGCUUUUAGGGUCACUUUUGGUCUCUUCCCCUCACUUUUUGUGUCCCUGCCUCACUUUUAGGGUCACUUUUGGUCUCUUCCCCUCACUUUUUGUGUCCCUGCCUCGUUUUUUCAGGCAUUUUUAGUGGCCCUCCUUCAAUUUUUGGAGCAUUUUUGGUGGCCCUCUCUCAAUUUUAUGUCCUUGCCUCACUUUCAGGUCACUUUUGGUCUCUUCCCAUCACUUUUUGUGUCCCUGUCUUGCUUUUAGGGGCACUUUUGGUGCCCCUCCCUCAAUAUUGUGGCCCUGCCUCACUUUUAGGGUCGUUUUGGUCUCCCCCCAUCAGUUUUUGUGUCCCUGCCUCGCUUUUUGGGUCACUUUUGGUCUCCCCCCACAACUUUUUGUGUCCCUGCCUCACUUUUUGGGGCAUUUCUGGUGCCCCUUCCUCGCUUUCUGGGGCCCUGCCUUGCUUUUAGAGUCACUUUUGGUGGCCCUCCCUCGCUUUUUGUGGCCCUGCUUUGCUUUCAGGGGUCUCCCCCUGUUGCUUUUUGUGUCCCUGCCUCACUUUUAGAGGCACUUUUGGCGUCCCUCCCCUGACUUUUUGUUUCCCUCUCUCACUUUCAGGGUUCCCCCCAUCACUUUUAGCAUCUCUCCCCCGUUUCUUGUGUCCCCUCCCUCAUUUUCAAGACCUCCCCUCUAUCAUUUUUUGUGUCCCUCCCUCAUUCUCAGGGUCAUUUUUGGCAUCCCCUCCCUCACU